CACAAAGGGCCUCAACGACCCAAAGGCUUUCAGGGGCUGCUUCUAGAGGGUUACUUUAAAAGUUCAAACAAAUGGAUUGAGAAACAGCUUUUUGGAACCUACCCUGCUCUUAAAAAGAUUGUAACGAGAUUCUUGGUAAACAAGACUCAGAGAUUUGGACUCUGCCCCUUCCUCAAUGGUGGAAGAGAAGUAACAGUGAAGUUGGAGCAUUUCUGAUUAGGAGACUAAGUGUCAGAGAGGUCAUCCCACUUGUCCAAGGUCACAGUAAUUUGAGAACACAUAUACAGAUGAAGAUUGAAGAUACUAAGCAGGAUGCAUAAUAACAAAUAGAGAAAUGACAUUGAACUUUCCACAAAAUAAGU